rnacentral:rRNA from 1 species
GGUGCAUACAUGCAGUCGAGCGCGGGAAGCGAGAUGGAUCCCUUCGGGGUGAAGCUCGUGGAACGAGCGGCGGACGGGUGAGUAACACGUGGGCAACCUGCCUGUAAGAUCGGAAUAACCCCGGGAAACCGGGGCUAAUGCCGGGUAAUACUUUCUUUCGCAUGAAGGAAAGUUGAAAGAUGGCUUCUCGCUAUCACUUACAGAUGGGCCCGCGGCGCAGUAGCUAGUUGGUGAGGUAACGGCUCACCAAGGCGACGAUGCGUAGCCGACCUGAGAGGGUGAUCGGCCACACUGGGACUGAGACACGGCCCAGACUCCUACGGGAGGCAGCAGUAGGGAAUCUUCCGCAAUGGACGAAAGUCUGACGGAGCAACGCCGCGUGAACGAUGAAGGUCUUCGGAUCGUAAAGUUCUGUUGUUAGGGAAGAACAAGUACCGUGCGAAUAGAGCGGUACCUUGACAGUACCUAACGAGGAAGCCCCGGCUAACUACGUGCCACAGCCGCGGUAAUACGUAGGGGGCAAGCGUUGUCCGGAAUAUUGGGCGUAAAGCGCGCGCAGGCGGAUCCUUAAGUCUGAUGUGAAAGCCCACGGCUCAACCGUGGAGGGUCAUUGGAAACUGGGGAACUUGAGGACAGAAGAGGAGAGUGGAAUUCCACGUGUAGCGGUGAAAUGCGUAGAUAUGUGGAGGAACACCAGUGGCGAAGGCGACUCUCUGGUCUGUUCUGACCUAGUGGGAAAAACCGGGGGGGGAAAAAACGAAAGAAAAAAGGGGGGGCCCCCCC